AGCAAAGUGAAAACAUAUUAAAAGAAGAAACUGUACAAUAUGAAAUUCCUUUACAGCAAAAUACAAAUGAUACGGUAGUGAAAAGUGAAAACAAAUCAAAAGGAGAAACUGGACGAUCUGAAAGCCCUUCCCAGCAAAAGGCACAGGAUACGGUAGUGCAAAGUGAAAAUAGAUCAAAAGAAGAGACUAGACAGCCUGUAGCUCUUACCCUGCAACACACACAGGAAACGCAAAGUGACAACAGAUCAAAAGAAGAGACUGAACACUCUGAAAACCCUACCCUGCAACAUAUACAAUAUACGCAAAAUGAAACAAGAUCUAAAGAACAAAAUGGACAAUCUGAAAGCCCUUCUCAGCAAAAUACUCAGGGUACGGUAGUGGUAAGUG